UACGAAGGGGGCUAGCGUUGCUCGGAAUGACUGGGCGUAAAGGGCGCGUAGGCGGUUUGCACAGUCGGGCGUGAAAUUCCAGGGCUCAACCUUGGGGCUGCGUUCGAGACGUGUGGGCUAGAGUGUGGAAGAGGGUCGUGGAAUUCCCAGUGUAGAGGUGAAAUUCGUAGAUAUUAGGAAGAACACCAGUGGCGAAGGCGGCUCACUGGCCCGGUACUGACGCUGAGGCGCGAAAGCGUGGGGAGCAAACAGG
rnacentral:rRNA from 1 species